GUGGUAAUGCCGGAUGCUCCGACUCCUCGCAUGGGGUGUCGGGAAAGAUUUCAUCGGUAUGGGAUGGGGUCGCGUCCUAUCAGGUAGUCGGCGGGGUAACGGCCCACCGAGCCUACGACGGGUAGCCGGCCUGAGAGGGCGACCGGCCACAUUGGGACUGAGAUACGGCCCAGACUCCUACGGGAGGCAGCAGUGGGGAAUAUUGCACAAUGGGCGCAAGCCUGAUGCAGCGACGCCGCGUGCGGGAUGACGGCCUUCGGGUUGUAAACCGCUUUUGAUCGGGAGCAAGCCUUCGGGUGAGUGUACCUUUCGAAUAAGCACCGGCUAACUACGUGCCAGCAGCCGCGGUAAUACGUAGGGUGCAAGCGUUAUCCGGAAUUAUUGGGCGUAAAGGGCUCGUAGGCGGUUCGUCGCGUCCGGUGUGAAAGUCCAUCGCUUAACGGUGGAUCUGCGCCGGGUACGGGCGGGCUGGAGUGCGGUAGGGGAGACUGGAAUUCCCGGUGUAACGGUGGAAUGUGUAGAUAUCGGAAAGAAC
rnacentral:rRNA from 1 species